AUGCUGCUGCUGCUACUGCUACAUGAGGGCCCUCUUCAAUUCUGCAUCCGUUGCGGCCUCUGCAGCUUCCACCUCCAGAAGAGCACCUGCUCCUCGUGCGGUUACCCGGCCGCCCGCAUCCGCAAGUGUAAGCUCCCCCUCCCUUCGUCCUAG
rnacentral:rRNA from 1 species